CUUCCCCUUCCUUUUCCUUUUCCCCUUGCCUUCUCCCCACCUUUCUUCUUUGUUGAUUAGGGCUUGACAACAAUAACUCCAUUUGGAUUCUGAUCAUUUCACACAAUAAAUCAAGAAAGUCAAGUCAAUACCCAUGAUGAAAAGCUGGAGAAAGCAUUACUGUUCCUAGUCCUCUUAGGAAAAGUAUUCACAGUUCAUUUGGAAGGAGAGUCCCCAGCACUGGUGUGGGAGUCAGCUCUACCAGGGCCACAGCUGCAUGGUCCUUGGGAAUUUUGCCAACCGCUUAGACCACAUGGAUGACCAGAUACUCAGUGCCUGGCAGAGGAUGACUGGACUUGCUGCUGCAGUUAAGAAGAGGUACAAAGCCCUGGUGGCUGACAGGCCACAUACUCUGCUGUGACCAGGGCCUUUGUGUGCUCACAUGGUAGGAUCCAGGAGAGGAAGAUGCUGGCCUCAUCAUCCUGUGUCUCAACUGUUACUCUGCAGUUUGGUUCAGAGACUGUCCAACUCCUGGCACUCAAGCAUAUCACUCAGACCAAUUUUUCUUACUCAGCUUCUACAAUAGACUGACUUUUCCAAGAAUGACUCCAACAGUGUGUGCCAAUCCCCAGGUUUACCUGCAAUUUGAUGGUCAGACCCUCUAACUGCUUUGUGUGACAGAGUGGGACAUUGUGCUGCUCAUGGGCCUAGUCCUUACCUGGCAGGCCCUCCUUGUUGGACCUCAAAUUAAGCAUGGUUAUCCUGGGGUCUCCAUGCUGUGAUCAUCCAUGCUCCUUUGAGAGACCCCAGAGGAAGAGGAUGACCCCUACAGAAGGAGCAGCAAGAGACAGAAUCAAGUCACUAGACAUGAAAAGGAGUCAACUUGGAAGUAGAUCUUCCAGACCCAGCCACGUGGAGCAGAGUUGAACCACCUAGCCAAGCCCUUUGCAGACCCAAAUCCACAGAAACAUGAGUGUUAAGCCAUGAAGCUGCUUGUUUACACAGGAAUAGCUAACUGGAACCUGUUCAAAUGUCUACCCCAAAUCUUGUUAACCCCAACCUUCUAUGAAAGAUGCUUCCUAUUAACCUA